rnacentral:pre_miRNA from 1 species
AUUACCAGUUUGCUGUUCAUUGCGGAGCGUGUUUUAGCUUUUUUUACAAGAACAUAAAUAUGUAUUUAAAACACGCUGCGCAAUGAAUAGCAAACUGGUAAUC